AGUCUUCAUAAUUAGUACAAACGUUCAUAAUUGAUUCAAUUGCAUUAUUUAUGGAGAACUAUUUACAACGAGCUCGCUUUUCUUACGUCAUUUCAAGCAAACAAUUUACAAUCCUCCUCCAGCAACACAAUUGCAAAACAAUUUCGGUGUCACUUGCAGAUAAACAAACUCAAAGUUCAACGGCAUUCACUUGUGUAAAAAACGGGCCAGCGGACGAGAGCAACUAAUUAUUUUGUUUAUUUGGCACAUUAAUUGCCCGCAAACGAGUCGCGUGUGAACGAGCCAGCUAGAAUUGCGGAUCCCCCUAGCCGUUCACAUCGAUAUUGCAGAUAUAGCAGAUAUUGCAGAUAUAGCUGAUAUAGCCCGAGAUUCCACAGAUCGGCCACAAAAUGAACGACCGUGAAUUGGGCUGUGCGGGCGGACAGUUUAUGGAUCGCGGGCGGAUGAACCAGAAUGGAGUUGUCCAGCCCCUGCUCACUGAUUUGUACCAAAUAACGAUGGCCUAUGCCUAUUGGAAAUCCGAUAAAACCGAUGAUACGGCGGUAUUCGAUCUGUUCUUUCGCAACAAUCCAUUCCACGGGGAAUUCACGAUUUUCGCUGGCCUCGAGGAGUGCCUCAAAUUCCUGGAUAGCUUCCACUAUUCCCAGAGCGAUAUCGAAUACCUGAAGCAAACACUGCCCGAGGGCAUUGAGCACGAGUUUUUUGAGUACCUCGGCAAUCUAACGGCGCGGGAUGUCACCUUGUAUGCCAUUGAUGAGGGCACAGUAGCCUUUCCACGAGUACCCAUCAUUAAGAUCGAGGGACCUUUGAUCAUAGUCCAGCUGCUGGAGACGACACUUCUCACCUUGGUAAACUAUGCCAGUUUGAUGGCCACCAAUGCAGCCCGUUAUCGCAUGGUAGCUGGCAAACAUGUCAAACUACUGGAAUUUGGACUGCGUCGUGCCCAGGGACCAGAUGGAGGUCUAUCCGCAUCGAAAUACUCCUACACAGGCGGCUUUGAUGGCACCUCCAAUGUGCUGGCUGGAAAACUCUUCAACAUACCCGUGAAGGGAACCCAUGCCCAUGCCUAUAUCACUAGUUUUAGUAGCAUUGGAGAGCUGAAGACCCGUCUGAUUAAGCACAAGCAAACAGGUAUACUGGAAGAUUUAUUGGAGCACGCCAUUAGGCACCGGGCAUUGUUGUCCCAUCUGCUGGACGUUUCUACGGAGGAGUCCAGUGAGGGAGAACUGGCAGCGAUGGUGUCCUAUGCCAUCGCAUUCCCUGAUGGAUUCAUGGCACUUGUCGAUACGUACGAUGUUAAGAGCCGAGAAACAGAACAAGCCAACACAGAACCAAAGCUUAUCAAUGAUAUCAAGUCUGAGAACAGUCCGCCAAAGUCAAAGCCAAAGACAAGUCCCUCGACCAAUGGCCAUCAAAAUGGUCAGGGUGUUGGCCACGUUAACGGCCACAAGACCAAUGGUCAUCCAAAUGGCGUUGCUCAGAAUAAUGGCAGUAGAUCGCCAAAAGAUACAGAUAUACAAGAUACAAAUCCCAGCACAACAACAGCUACGAAAACAACUGCAACAGCAACAGGAACCUUAAAGACAACCACAGUGUCCAAUGGGACGGCAUACCUACCAAAAUAUGUCGAGAAGUCAUUCAGAAACCCAUAAAAUAUCGAAAGCAAAGAAAAGAAAAGAAAUGAAAAGAAUUUGCGAACCUAACAUAGUAAACAAAUGACUUCCGGCACUAUUUUGGCAGAGGAGUGGCCUGCUGAAUUUCAGUGCCGUGGCCUUGGCCCUCAACGAUCUGGGCUACCAUGCGCUGGGCAUUCGCAUCGAUUCGGG
rnacentral:misc_RNA from 1 species